AGCAAGGGAAUGAAGAGAAAAAAAGGGGGAAAUAAAAACAACAACAAAAACACCCAAAAAUAAAAAAAACAAGGAAACAAGGGGAGGAGAGCACACAGCCUCAUAAAUGCAGGAAGAUACACUUAAACUCAUUAGUAACCAAGGAAAAGCAAAUUAAAACAGUAACGAGACAGCAUGUCACACCCAUCAGAUAGGCAACAAACGUUUAAAGUGUCAGCGCCCGUGUUUGGUGGGGUUGCGGGGAGACGGCGCCCGCACGCUCUCCUGUAGGCACGUGCGCUGGCGAAACGGCGUUCAGGGCAAACUGACAUUAUUCAGGAUAACUGCCCACAGUCACCGGGACCCGGCAGCCCAGGCCCCCAUGCGCACACUCGAGAAAAUCUUCGGCGUGUGUCCUGCAGGGAUGCAGAUGCACUACUGGACUGUGGGAAACAGAAACAAAAUUGGAAAGCACCUCGAUAGCGGUCAAUGAAUGGGUGAACAAAACGUACCUUAAUAAGAUGGCAUUGUGUCUAUUCAGCAGUUUAAAUGCAGACACACGGAAAUAAUGUUAAUAAAUGUGUCUCAAAAUAAACAAAUAUAAUGAAGGAGGAAACUUUUGAAGGACAUCACAUAACCAGAAAGAGUCUGAACUAAAACAAUCACUGUUGUGCCUAUUAAAAAGAUCUCAAAGUACAAACUAAUCAAAUCAGCAAUAAAUAGACUAUCCUAUGGACAAAAUAAGGUUUAUCCUGCGCGCGUGAGGACGAAGCGUCAGCCAGGAGAAAUCUGUUAUAAGUCAGGAUCAGACCGAGCAGGAAAGAUCUCAUGGUCACUGUAAAAGACGCUGAAAUGUUCGCGAUCAAGUUCAACGUGCAGCCCAGGGGCCAGGACUCGCGCCCGCUUUCUGCGUUAACUGCCCUAAUGAUCAGCAGCUCACCCUUUCUGUGCCUGGUGAACUCACCUGGAAAACAGAAGAAAGCUUUCACAUGAGGACUGCAUGAAGUGACAUAUAGAUAAAGUACGCAGAACAGUGCCUGACACAGAAUAAUCACCAAGCUCCUGCCCCGGUGAGGACGCGGGAUGCACACCCAUCUGUCCACCCGCACGAAGUGUGCUGGGCACCGACGCGGCCCCUGGUUAAGGUGCAGCUGCUGAGUGGACCCAUUCAUUACGUCAGGGGCACAGGGAAAAUGGCUAUUUACAAAAGCUGAAACCUGAUAUACGGAAAAAAGGUUUAGGCCCCCAGUGAUCAAAGAAUUGCGAAUUAAAAUAGCCCAGGCGCUGACAAUCUCUCACCUACUUCAUUAACCAAAAGCCACAGAGAAUCACAGCCCAGGGGCCUGGAGCAGCGGGGCAGCCCACGACCACUCGGGUCCCUCACGGGAGGCGGCAAUCCCUUAAGAUUUACUGGGAUGGCUCAACACUUACAAAAAUGCAGUAAAAACUAUGUACACGUAAGCGAGCUGGCAGCCAGAGACCCCGAACACCCCAGCUCUCUCUACCAGCAGUCACUGAAAAACCUCGAAAGGCGUUUUAAUUUCCUCUCCCUGGUCCUCUGAGAUCUGGUUUCCCAGGCAGCCGAGGUGCUGAGGGAAGGCAGGGAAACCCAUCCAUCAAUUUAUGGCCUGCCUUCACAGGGUGACAGGAAUCUUGCAAUAAAACGAGAUGUAUGUGCUCGACUCCAGAGGCUUUGACAUUUCGGCAGCGAGGCCACUCCCUUUGCCUUUUUGUCCCCAGCCGGUUUGUAAUCAUGAGCCAGGUCCCUUCCGCUCCCUCGGAUUCCUGAAGAGGAACGUGGAUUGUGAGCCGCCCCCAAAAGACAAAUCACUGAUUUCUUCUCCUCUCCAAAGACUAAUGGGGGUUUCGGUGGGAAACAGGCUCUCGCGGCCAGGGUGGUGGGACUGUGCAUUAAUUAUGUGAUGGUUUCAGUGACCCGCCAUCUGCCCCCAUGCCCCUGACACUGCCCACGUCCCGCACAGCGUGGGUGUGUACUCUGGCAGGGAGACAGGCCGCGGGCACCGUCUGUCCGAGCUCCGACGCUCGGGGACGGGGCUCUACACAGGCCGCGGCAGAGCGGGUGAGCCGCAGGGGCUGGGACACGCUUCUUGGGGAAGGUGGGGCUUGAGCUGGGCUUUCCCAGAAGAGGCAGGAGCAUUUCCUGGGGAGAUGCUUGGAAGUGGAGGGCAAGGGGCUGCCUCCCUAUAUGUUGUCUCCUUGCCUAUGAAUCCGGCUCCGACACCACACAGCCCAGAGUCCGUCCACGGGCACCUCUCCUCUUGCAGAGGCGCCCCUGUCCUUGCAACAUAGCUGCCC